UUACCUGGCCUUGACAUACUAAGAACUUUCCAGAGAUGGAUUGGUGCCUUCGGGAACUUAGAUACAGGUGCUGCAUGGCUGUCGUCAGCUCGUGUCGUGAGAUGUUGGGUUAAGUCCCGCAACGAGCGCAACCCUUUUCCUUAUUUGCCAGCGGGUAAUGCCGGGAACUUUAAGGAUACUGCCAGUGACAAACUGGAGGAAGGCGGGGACGACGUCAAGUCAUCAUGGCCCUUACGGCCAGGGCUACACACGUGCUACAAUGGUCGGUACAAAGGGUUGCUACCUCGCGAGAGGAUGCUAAUCUCAAAAAGCCGAUCGUAGUCCGGAUCGCAGUCUGCAACUCGACUGCGUGAAGUCGGAAUCGCUAGUAAUCGCGGAUCAGAAUGCCGCGGUGAAUACGUUCCCGGGCCUUGUACACACCGCCCGUCACACCAUGGGAGUUUGUUGCACCAGAAGUAGGUAGUCUAACCGCAAGGAGGACGCUUACCACGGUGUGGCCGAUGACUGGGGUGAAGUCGUAACAAGGUAAGCGUACUACA
rnacentral:rRNA from 1 species